UCAGGAUGAACGCUAGCUACAGGCUUAACACAUGCAAGUCGAGGGGCAGCAUAAUCGAAGCUUGCUUUGAUUGAUGGCGACCGGCGCACGGGUGAGUAACGCGUAUCCAACCUUCCCCUUAGUAGAGGAUAGCCCGGCGAAAGUCGGAUUAAUGCUCUAUGUUUUCCGAAGAUGGCAUCUGAUUGGAACAAAGGUUUACCGCUAAGGGAUGGGGAUGCGUCUGAUUAGGUUGUUGGCGGGGUAACGGCCCACCAAGCCUACGAUCAGUAGGGGUUCUGAGAGGAAGGUCCCCCACAUUGGAACUGAGACACGGUCCAAACUCCUACGGGAGGCAGCAGUGAGGAAUAUUGGUCAAUGGACGUAAGUCUGAACCAGCCAGGUAAGCGUGCAGGAUGACGGCCCUAUGGGUUGUAAACUGCUUUUGUACGGGAAUAAAGUCAGGGACGUGUCCCUGUUUGUAUGUACCGUAAGAAUAAGGACCGGCUAAUUCCGUGCCAGCCGCGGC
rnacentral:rRNA from 1 species